rnacentral:rRNA from 1 species
UGCAGUCGAGCGGAAACGAAGGUAGCUUGCUACCAGGCGUCGAGCGGCGGACGGGUGAGUAACGCGUAGGAAUCUGCCUAGUAGAGGGGGACAACAUGUGGAAACGCAUGCUAAUACCGCAUACGCCCUGAGGGGGAAAGGAGGGGAUCACUUGUGACCUUCCGCUAUUAGAUGAGCCUGCGUGAGAUUAGCUAGUUGGUAGGGUAAAGGCCUACCAAGGCGACGAUCUCUAACUGGUCUGAGAGGAUGACCAGUCACACUGGGACUGAGACACGGCCCAGACUCCUACGGGAGGCAGCAGUGGGGAAUAUUGGACAAUGGGCGCAAGCCUGAUCCAGCCAUGCCGCGUGUGUGAAGAAGGCCUUAGGGUUGUAAAGCACUUUCAGGGGUGAGGAAGGGUGAGUCGCUAAUAUCGACUUAUCUUGACGUUAGCCCCAGAAGAAGCACCGGCUAACUCUGUGCCAGCAGCCGCGGUAAUACAGAGGGUGCAAGCGUUAAUCGGAAUUACUGGGCGUAAAGCGCGCGUAGGUGGUUUGUUAAGUCUGAUGUGAAAUCCCAGGGCUCAACCUUGGAAUGGCACCGGAUACUGGCUAGCUAGAGUAUGG